GACGAACGCUGGCGGCGUGCUUAACACAUGCAAGUCGAACGGAAAGGCCCUGCUUUUGUGGGGUGCUCGAGUGGCGAACGGGUGAGUAACACGUGAGUAACCUGCCCUUGACUUUGGGAUAACUUCAGGAAACUGGGGCUAAUACCGGAUAGGAGCUCCUGCUGCAUGGUGGGGGUUGGAAAGUUUCGGCGGUUGGGGAUGGACUCGCGGCUUAUCAGCUUGUUGGUGGGGUAGUGGCUUACCAAGGCUUUGACGGGUAGCCGGCCUGAGAGGGUGACCGGCCACAUUGGGACUGAGAUACGGCCCAGACUCCUACGGGAGGCAGCAGUGGGGAAUAGUGCAAAAUGGGCGGAAGCCGGAUGCAGCAACGCCGCGUGCGGGAUGACGGCCUUCGGGUUGUAAACCGCUUUCGCCUGUGACGAAGCGUGAGUGACGGUAAUGGGUAAAGAAGCACCGGCUAACUACGUG
rnacentral:rRNA from 1 species